rnacentral:rRNA from 1 species
AUUGAACGCUGGCGGCAUGCUUUACACAUGCAAGUCGAGCGGCAGCGCGGGGGCAACUCUGGCGGCGAGCGGCGAACGGGUGAGGAAUACAUCGGAACGUGUCCCGUAAUGGGGGAGUANCCCGGCCGAAAGCCGGAUUAAUACCGCAUAUGCUCUGCGGAGGAAAGCUGGGGAUCUGUUACAGGACCUGGCGUUAUGGGAGCGGCCGAUGUCCGAUUAGCUAGNGGUUGGGGUAAAGGCUUACCAAGGCGACGAUCGGUAGCUGGUCUGAGAGGAUGAUCA